UUCUCAGACCUCCGCCACCAGCCCCAGUAGCAGCGGCAGCAGCGGCGACAACGACAACCGGAAGCUGGGGAAGGCGGGAGCCAGAAGGUAUAGCGAAAGCAGGUCGAACGGAAGUGACGUUUAUGGGCGUGGUCUCGCAUGGACGGGACGGAGUUCAACCCUGGCUCUGGAGAGGGGAACCCGAGGACCGUGUCAGUGAGACCGCCGAGGUGGAUCAGGAAAACUCUGUGCGUGUUUCAAUCAACACUACUUUCCUUGAGCUAACUUAAACUUACUACUCAUUUGUAUCUAUUAAAGUGCUGGGGACCUCCUGCAUGCAAGCAAAACAGCCAGUUCCCCACUGCUCACAGGUCUGUCAGCAUACGAGGUAUCCUUGCUCCCUGUGGCAGCUUCAACACUCUCUGCAGGACUUUCCUACCCACCACUGCCAGCACCUGCAUCCCUCAAGUGGCAUAGGGGCCACGUGCAUGCCCAGCCGUGGAGCAGCAGGCUGUGAGAGGCCAUAACUAAUGGUUUUCUCUUCUGUCCAAGAUGGGCGUGGUGGUGCACAUCUGUAAUCCCAAGGCAGAAGCAGAAGGAUCACUGUGAGUUCAAGGCCUGCCUGGAGUAUAUAGUGAGUCCCUGUCUCAAAAGACAACCAAAUAAAC